CACGUAGGGGGCGAGCGUUGUCCGGAUUUAUUGGGCGUAAAGAGCUCGUAGGCGGCUUGGCAAGUCGGGUGUGAAACCUCCAGGCUCAACCUGGAGACGCCACUCGAUACUGCUAUGGCUAGAGUCCGGGUAGGGGACCACGGAAUUCCUGGUGUAGCGGUGAAAUGCGCAGAUAUCAGGAGGAACACCGGUGGCGGAAGGCGGUGGUCUGGGCCGGCACUGACGCUGGAGGAGCGAAAGCGUGGGUAGCAAACAGG
rnacentral:rRNA from 1 species